rnacentral:rRNA from 1 species
CACAGGAAACAGCUAUGACCAUGAUUACGCCAAGCUUGGUACCGAGCUCGGAUCCACUAGUAACGGCCGCCAGUGUGCUGGAAUUCGGCUUAUUACCGCGGCUGCUGGCACGGAGUUAGCCGAGGCUGAUUCCUCAGGUACCGUCAUUUGUUCUUCCCUGAGAAAAGGGGUUUACAACCCAAGAGUCUUCCUCCCCCACGCGGUCUUGCUCCGUCAGGCUUGCGCCCAUUGCGGAAAAUUCCCCACUGCUGCCUCCCGUAGGAAGCCGAAUUCUGCAGAUAUCCAUCACACUGGCGGCCGCUCGAGCAUGCAUCUAGAGGGCCCAAUUCGCCCUAUAGUGAGUCGUAUUACAAUUCACUGGCCGUCGUUUUUACAACGUC